rnacentral:rRNA from 1 species
UAAUAAGCUAUUAAGGGCUAAUGGUGGAUGCCUAGACUGUAAGAGGCGAUGAAAGACGUAUUAGGCUGCGAUAAGCCUCGGGGAGCUGCCAAAGAGCUUUGAUCCGGGGAUUUCUGAAUGGGGCAACCCAAUAUAAUGAGAAUUAUAUUACCCUACGGGGAGCGAACCUAGUGAAGUGAAACAUCUCAGUAGCUAGAGGAAGAGAAAUCAAACGAGAUUCCCAAAGUAGCGGCGAGCGAAAUGGGAUUAGGACAAACCCAAUGCUUGCAUUGGGGGUUGUAGGACCAUGAUAUGAGACUAAAGAGGAUAGAUGAAAUACUUGGAAAAGUGUAGCAUAGAAGGUGAAACUCCUGUAAUUAAAAUUCUCAAUAGCUCUAAUGGUAUCCUGAGUAGGUCGGAACACGUGAUAUUUUGACUGAAGCCGGGGGGACCACCCUCCAAUCCUAAAUACUACUUACAGAUCGAUAGUGAACAAGUACCGUGAGGGAAAGGUGAAAAGUACUCCAGCGAGGAGAGUGAAAUAGAACCUGAAACCAUUAGCUUACAAUCAUUCAGAGCCCUAUGAUUUAUCAGGGUGAUGGACUGCCUUUUGCAUAAUGAGCCUGCGAGUUGUGGUGUCUGGCAAGGUUAAGUCAAGUACGAAGCCGUAGCGAAAGCGAGUCUUAAUAGGGCGAAUUAGUCAGAUGCUGCAGACCCGAAACGAAGUGAUCUAUCCAUGAGCAGGUUGAAGCUGGUGUAAGAGCCAGUGGAGGACCGAACCCGCAGGCGUUGAAAAGUCUUGGGAUGACUUGUGGAUAGGGGUGAAAGGCCAAUCAAACUUCGUGAUAGCUGGUUCUCUCCGAAAUAUAUUUAGGUAUAGCCUUGUGUUGUAGCAUAUGGGGGUAGAGCACUGAAUGGGCUAGGGCUGCUUACCGCGGUACCAAACCCUAUCAAACUAUGAAUACUAUAUGUGGAAUCACAGGAGUCAGGCGGUGGGUGAUAAAAUCAAUCGUCGAGAGGGGAACAACCCAGACUAACAGCUAAGGUCCCUAAGUUACAUCUAAGUGGAAAACGAUGUGGAGUUACUGUGACAACCAGGAGGUUGGCUUAGAAGCAGCCAUCCUUUAAAGAAAGCGUAACAGC